rnacentral:misc_RNA from 1 species
GUCCGGUUGAAUUCUUGAAAUUGGCCUCAAAAUAAGGGCUUCAUGAAUGGGUUAGAGAUUAAUUAGGCUUACUACGGGCUUCAGGAGUCUUAUACUGACCCAAGUCCUAGUGCCAGUCCAGUCCGUGGGAUCGAGUCAUAACAUUGGGUGAGUUUUCUGUUUGGCUACAAGGGUGACGACGGCAGGGGAGGUCGGCCAAAGGGGUGCCAGUAAGUGGAGGAGCAGUGGGGUG